rnacentral:rRNA from 1 species
GACGAACGCUGGCGGCGUGCCUAAUACAUGCAAGUCGAGCGGACGUUUUAGGGAGCUUGCUCCUUGAAACGUUAGCGGCGGACGGGUGAGUAACACGUGGGCAACCUGCCCUGCAGAUGGGGAUAACUCCGGGAAACCGGGGCUAAUACCGAAUAAUCAGUUCUUCCGCAUGGAAGAACUCUGAAAGACGGUUUCGGCUGUCACUGCAGGAUGGGCCCGCGGCGCAUUAGCUAGUUGGUGGGAUAACGGCCUACCAAGGCGACGAUGCGUAGCCGACCUGAGAGGGUGAUCGGCCACACUGGGACUGAGACACGGCCCAGACUCCUACGGGAGGCAGCAGUAGGGAAUCUUCCACAAUGGACGAAAGUCUGAUGGAGCAACGCCGCGUGAGCGAAGAAGGUUUUCGGAUCGUAAAGCUCUGUUGCGAGGGAAGAAUAAGUACGGGAGUAACUGCCCGUACCUUGACGGUACCUCGUCAGAAAGCCACGGCUAACUACGUGC